CCAUUAAAACACAGGUUCCCAUACGAUCACCGAAGUUAAGCAACGUCGAGCCUGGCCAGUAUCUAGAUGGGUGACCGCUUGGUAAUACCGGAUGUUGUAU